rnacentral:lncRNA from 1 species
GUCAUUUUGAAGAAACAAAAAUAUCUAAAGUAAUCUAAUAGAACAACAUACUUAGGCCUCAACAUUUUCUUUUAAAGAUAUCUCAAGCUGUUGUUAUAACCAAUUUUCUUCAAUAAUUGCCAAUUCUGUCGUCCAUACCUUUUAUAAAUUUCACUGAUUAAUGCAGACAUUGAUUAUGGCCACCAUUAUUGAACAUGAAUAAUUAUUUUACAAUGAAGACAUUGAUUCUGUGACGUGUGAUGAAUGAAGACAGAUGAUUUUUUAUGUAACCAGAAUCAUGAUUUGUCUAUUGUUUUGUUUUUGUACUGUUAUAUAUUUAUUGUUAUUUAGAAAUAAAC